CGGUUGCGAGCACCUGGGCUAUGUUUAAAAACACCACAUUAAAAGUCAUCUCCCUCCCUGGAUCCCCCCGAAUUCCCAGUAAAGUCUCUCCAGCGUAAGUGGCUGUAAAAGACAGCGCUUAGCAAGUCGGGACUAAGUCGACAGUCGUGCUCCACACGAAGAAAAGAGCAUUUGUGAAGUACAAGGUUGUGCGCAGUGGUUUCCAGCUGUGGCAGAAGGAGCAGAAAAGAACGGCGAGGUUAUGUCUAUUUGCUAUGGCGGAGCCUGCGUCGGAGCCAGGGAGUGUUAAAACUCAGCUCGGAGCUCUGGGAUCCAAAAUGGGGAAAAAGCCUUUCUCUGAUCCAAACAACCCCAAAGCCUUUACCCCCAUCUCUGAGCCUCAGCCUAACCCUCAUCACCCCUGGCAGGAUCUGGCCCCAGCGGCUUCGUGUUCCCAGGAUUAUUAUUAUUUUUUUUUUAAUGGUAAAUCUCAACGCUAUUUCAAGUGAUGCUAUUUCACCAGCCACAAUGAGUGUGCACUUAUUUAAUAGCUAAAACAGACAGACAGUCAAAUUAACGCUGCCAUCCGGCUCAGCCCUUGUAAAUAAUUAGAACCAUUUUACUGCAAUAAUCAGAAUCAUUUUACUGCAGGGCUGAGAUUACUCUUCUGAAACUUCUGAACUUCUUUCACUUUGUUCUAUACAGUGAGCCUACCAAGAUGGUACUUUUAGGCAUGGAAUAAAAUGCUCUAAAAGCAAAUAUCUUUCAGGCGCUUGCCUGGGAGUCUUCAGGCUCCCUGUUACCUUACACGCCGAAGAAGGGGGAAAAAAGUGCCCGUCCUCCAGCUCUCUCACCCAUUCCCAGGGUGGCAUUUGCCAAGCUUAAAUCAACACUGUCUUGUCUCCAGCUCAAGCCAUAGCAGCUUUUGAGGGUGGUAUAUUAUCAUGACAAGCAGCGAAAUACAUAGAUUUUUAAAAAUUAAUACAACGACAUAUAUAAUACCCAGGAAUUCUUAGCUAAAUUUACAAAAUUAAUGACAAUUCUGCCCCCAGUACAUCACCGGUCACCUACUGCUCUUCCUCUUUUUUUUUUUUUUAAACUGUACAAUGACCUUCUGAUAAGGACAUGUCAGAAUGCGCCUGAGAAACGCUCAGGCUUUUGAAAAAUAAAUAGAUAGAAUACAAAAGCGGACACGACCACAGCUCUCCGCAAGGCAGAGGUGGCCGUGGCACGAUGUGUCCAUCAGCCCCGGCACGAGGUCACCUCCAGACCGGCUCAAAUCCAUCUGGCAUCAAGGGUCACCUCGGAAGGGGCUCAACACCAACCUCGUGUCCCGGGACGGUGGCCAGUCCCACGGCUCUCGGGCAGGUCACCCUAUAAACCCACGCACAAGCUCCGUUUCUGCAUCAGUAACGCUUCUGAGAUGGGAAAGAAAAACGUGUCGCUUAACACAGCAGCACCCAAAUUGGAGAGAUGUAGGAUGCCUGCCCUGGAGACCCCACCACAACCGAAAAAAAAAAAAAAAAAAUGGGAUGGAGAAAAAUUAACUGAAACGUUAACAUCUUGUGCUGCACGUGAAAAUGUUCAGCAGUGACCAAGGGGAUGGGUGACCCUUCCCAGCUCACAGCCCUUGUUUGUUAGGCAGGAAAAACCCAGAGAGCGCAAAGGCUGUUCGGCUGCAGGAAUUAGUUGGUGCUUGGUGGGAUGCAGCACAACUCUUAUUUUUAAUAAAAUGUCAUUGUUUAGGAGGGAGUGAUUUUUUUCAUAGGAGGGAGCGAUAAUCACUCUGCAUUAACCGCGCUGCACCACCCCCAGGACUGAAAGCCGCCGUCCCAAAACCACCGGAGCCAACCGUCCCGGAUAAAUUCAAAGGCGUGAUCGUACCGGGCAUUCACGGUUUGUGCCAUCGAGCAACGAUCGAUACCGUCUCGAUACCAAAAUUAAGAGAUCUGGUGUGGGAACGCCUUUGAUUUUAGUGAAUUUUUACUCUGACCCCAAAUCCUGCCGGUUCGCCCCCGUUUCGCACGGCAGCAAACAGGAGCGGGGGAAGCGUUUCUCGGGAUGGGGAGGCAGCGGCAGCUUCUCCUUGGGUUUCUCACCCACCGGGGGAGACGGAUUUGUGCCAGAGGACGGAGGCGCCGCGGGCCUGACGUGAGGUCAGAGGGGACGGGGUGACGUCACAGCCUCCCCGGUGAAGCCAGCGCCCGUCAAACACCCAUCGCUUGGCCGGGGGGGGUCAGCCCGCCUGUAGCGGGGAGGGGAGGCAGGCAGGCGUUAGGAAAGAGCAAACUUCAUCAGGCUCAAAGGGGGAGCUGGAGCAAAUACCCCCCGGCUCCCACAAAACAUCAGUAAAACGUAUCUUACUUCAGCGUGACAGUUCUAACCCGCAUCACUAUGGUAUUUGUCAGGUCAGAGG